AGCGAACGCUGGCGGCAGGCCUAACACAUGCAAGUCGAACGGAUCCUUCGGGAUUAGUGGCGGACGGGGGAGGAACACGUGGGAACGUGCCCGUGGGUUCGGAACAACUCAGGGAAACUUGAGCUAAUACCGGAUGUGCCCUUCGGGGGAAAGAGUUAUCGCCAUUGGAGCGGCCCGCGUCUGAUUAGCUAGUUGGUGAGGGAACGGCCCACCAAGGCGACGAUCAGUAGCUGGUCUGAGAGGAUGAUCAGCCACACUGGGACUGAGACACGGCCCAGACUCCUACGGGAGGCAGCAGUGGGGAAUCUUGCGCAAUGGGCGAAAGCCUGACGCAGCCAUGCCGCGUGAAUGAUGAAGGUCUUAGGAUUGUAAAAUUCUUUCAGCGGGGACGAUAAUGACGGUACCCGCAGAAGAAGCUCCGGCUAACUUCGUG
rnacentral:rRNA from 1 species